rnacentral:rRNA from 1 species
AAACUGAGGAUAAUACUGGAUAGGCAAUUUUUCCUGUAAUGGUUUUUUGUUUAAAUGUUUUUUCGCCUAAGGAUGGGUCUGCGGCCGAUUAGGUAGUUGGUUAGGUAACGGCUUACCAAGCCGUUGAUCGGUACGGGUUGUGAGAGCAAGAGCCCGGAGAUGGAACCUGAGACAAGGUUCCAGGCCCUACGGGGUGCAGCAGGCGCGAAACCUCCGCAAUGUGAGAAAUCGCGACGGGGGGAUCCCAAGUGCCAUUCUUAACGGGAUGGCUUUUCAUUAGUGUAAAAAGCUUUUGGAAUAAGAGCUGGGCAAGACCGGUGCCAGCCGCCGCGGUAACACCGGCAGCUCUAGUGGUAGCAAUUUUUAUUGGGCCUAAAGCGUCCGUAGCCGGUUUAAUAAGUCUCUGGUGAAAUCCUGUAGCUUAACUGUGGGAAUUGCUGGAGAUACUAUUAGACUUGAGACCGGGAGAGGUUAGAGGUACUCCCAGGGUAGAGGUGAAAUUCUGUAAUCCUGGGAGGACCGCCUGUUGCGAAGGCGUCUAACUGGAACGGUUCUGACGGUGAGGGACGAAAGUUAGGGGCGCGAACCGGAUUAGAUACCCGGGUAGUCCUAACUGUAAACGAUGCGGACUUGGUGUUGGGGUGGCUUUGAGCUGCUCCGGUGCCGAAGGGAAGCUGUUAAGUCCGCCGCCUGGGAAGUACGGUCGCAAGACUGAAACUUAA